rnacentral:lncRNA from 1 species
ACUUUCUUGUAUAAUGUGUUUACCUCUCUAAAUUGAUGAUGUGCAUGCAUUCUAUGGAAAACAUUUGUAUCUUUCCUAGUUCAAACUUCAGACCAAUCCUGCUGGUCCUCUUCAAGUAAACUGGAAUAGCAUACGAUGUAGAUACUAGAUAUUUUCUCUUGGAAGUUUAGGAGUCAGAGGGAAUUGGUGUGAUGAGAUAACAUAAAGUCCUAUUCAGAUUUAACUUUGAUUUUUGAGUUACAAUGAC